AUUGAACGCUGGCGGAAUGCUUUACACAUGCAAGUCGAACGGCAGCACGGGGCAACCUGGUGGCGAGUGGCGAACGGGUGAGUAAUACAUCGGAACGUGCCCAAUCGUGGGGGAUAACGUAGCGAAAGUUACGCUAAUACCGCAUACGAUCUACGGAUGAAAGCGGGGGAUCGCAAGACCUCGCGCGAAUGGAGCGGCCGAUGUCAGAUUAGGUAGUUGGUGGGGUAAAGGCUCACCAAGCCGACGAUCUGUAGCUGGUCUGAGAGGACGACCAGCCACACUGGGACUGAGACACGGCCCAGACUCCUACGGGAGGCAGCAGUGGGGAAUUUUGGACAAUGGGCGCAAGCCUGAUCCAGCCAUUCCGCGUGCAGGAUGAAGGCCUUCGGUUGUAAACUGCUUUGUACGGAACGAAAGGACUCUGGUUAAUACCUGGAGUUUAUGACGGUACCGUAAGAAUAAGCACCGGCUAACUACGUGCCAGCAGCCGCGGUAAUU
rnacentral:rRNA from 1 species